GAUGAACGCUAGCCACAGGCUUAACACAUGCAAGUCGAGGGGCAGCGCAGUGUAGCAAUACAUGGGCGGCGACCGGCGCACGGGUGCGUAACGCGUACCCAACCUUCCCGUUACUCAGGGAUAGCCUUCCGAAAGGGAGAUUAAUACCUGAUGGUGUUUGAAUUCCGCAUGUUAUUCAAACUAAAGAUUUAUCGGUAACGGAUGGGGAUGCGUGACAUUAGAUAGUAGGCGGGGUAACGGCCCACCUAGUCUACGAUGUCUAGGGGUUCUGAGAGGAAGGUCCCCCACACUGGAACGGAGACACGGUCCAGACUCCUACGGGAGGCAGCAGUGAGGAAUAUUGGUCAAUGGUCGGAAGACUGAACCAGCCAAGUAGCGUGAAGGAUGAAGGUUCUAUGGAUUGUAAACUUCUUUUAUACGGGAAUAAAACCUCCCACGUGUGGGAGCUUGUAUGUACCGUAUGAAUAAGCAUCGGCUAACUCCGUGCCAGCCGCCGCCGUAAAAC
rnacentral:rRNA from 1 species